rnacentral:rRNA from 1 species
AGUGAACGCUGGCGGUAGGCCUAACACAUGCAAGUCGAACGGCAGCACAGUAAUAGCUUGCUCUUACGGGUGGCGAGUGGCGGACGAGUGAUGAAUACCUCGGUAUCUACUUUUUCGUGGGGGAUAACGUAGGGAAACUUACGCUAAUACCGCAUACGACCUACGGGUGAAAGCAGGGGAUCUUCGGCCCUUGCGCGAUUGUAUGAGCCGAUGUCGGAUUAGCUAGUUGGCGGGGUAAAGGCCCACCAAGGCGACGAUCCGUAGCUGGUCUGAGAGGAUGAUCAGCCACACUGGAACUGAGACACGGUCCAGACUCCUACGGGAGGCAGCAGUGGGGAAUAUUGGACAAUGGGCGCAAGCCUGAUCCAGCCAUACCGCGUGGGUGAAGAAGGCCUUCGGGUUGUAAAGCACUUUUGUUGGGAAAGAAAAGCAGCAGGUUAAUACCCCGCUGUUCUGACGGUACCAAAAGAAUAAGCACCGGCUAACUUCGUG